GCCAGAGUGGUGCAGUGGUUUUAAACAUUUUACUAUGAGUUUGGAGACCAGUGUUCAAAUCUCUGCUUGGCCA